rnacentral:rRNA from 1 species
CCUACGGGGAGGCAGCAGUGGGGAAUUUUGGACAAUGGGGGCAACCCUGAUCCAGCAAUGCCGCGUGAGUGAAGAAGGCCCUCGGGUUGUAAAGCUCUUUUGUCAGGGAAGAAACGGUCUACUCUAAUACAGUGGGCUAAUGACGGUACCUGAAGAAUAAGCACCGGCUAACUACGUGCCAGCAGCCGCGGUAAUACGUAGGGUGCAAGCGUUAAUCGGAAUUACUGGGCGUAAAGCGUGCGCAGGCGGUUUUAUAAGACAGAGGUGAAAUCCCCGGGCUCAACCUGGGAACUGCCUUUGUGACUGUAAGGCUAGAGUGUGUCAGAGGGGGGUAGAAUUCCACGUGUAGCAGUGAAAUGCGUAGAUAUGUGGAGGAAUACCGAUGGCGAAGGCAGCCCCCUGGGAUAACACUGACGCUCAUGCACGAAAGCGUGGGGAGCAAACAGGAUUAGAUACCCUGGUAGUCCACGCCCUAAACGAUGUCUACUAGUUGUCGGGUACUUAAUUGUCUUGGUAACGCAGCUAACGCGUGAAGUAGACCGCCUGGGGAGUACGGUGCAGAUAAACUCAAAUGAAUUGACGGNGUGAGACGNGCGAGACGACGACGAGGGAGAGG